rnacentral:sRNA from 1 species
CGACUUGAGCGCCAGCGAGAGAGCGUUGCCGCAGGCAACGACCCGAAGGGCGAAGCGCGCAGCGCUGAGUAAUCCUUCCCCCACCACCA